rnacentral:tmRNA from 1 species
GGGGGCGAACGGCUUCGACGGAGUGCCUGAGGAGCCUGAGUGCAUGGCGAGGUUCCUCUGUCACCUCGUAAUCCCGGCAGAGGAAACACAGCUGCCAACAACAGCUACGCACUGGCUGCCUAACAAACGGUAGCCCCUUGAGCCGCGAUUUCACCCGGCGCGGGUCUCAGGGUCUAAUAGGGUGAUCAAGGCCGUCGCUGGCCUCAGGGCGGCGGUUGGAUCAUCUCUGGGGCUGGCCAGCUUCCGCCUGUCAGUCGGCAAAGAAGCGGGCGAGACCGGUAGAUUGACUAACCAUGUAGAUACCAGGUUCCGAACUCUUCGGACGCGGGUUCGAUUCCCGCCGCCUCCAUUA